rnacentral:tmRNA from 1 species
UCGCUUGUGCAGAUAAGGUGAAUUCAAUAGCAAGCAGGCUUUAUGUGAUCUUUGUUUGUUUAGUAGCAUGAAGCCAUAAAUAAACAAACUAUGUGUGUAAAGGUUCUUUGGAUCUUAACUUCGGACGCGGGUUCGACUCCCGCCACCUCCACUC